UUUAUUUUCUCAAGCUUAAUAAAAAACGCUGUAUCCUUUGACCAUUGUGAGUGGGAUGGUGGGACAGAGGACUUCCACUGAAGAAGAAGGCGACGUCUGGCCAACAAUGAUAAUUCACUUCGAAGAAACAGAACAGUCUGAUAUUUGUUCCCAGUCCGUCCUGAUCGUCUUGAAGUCGUAUUUUAUCCCCGUCUCGUCUACAGCACCGGUGAAUUCUGCAGUUCAGGUGUUGAUUCAGCUUAUCGACUUAUAACUCAGUCAAAGUGUUUUGUACAGUCAAAAAUAUAAGCCUCAUAAUACACAGGUUAUAAAUGUGUAUUAGCUGAUAAUGUUAUGAUGAAGUUUUAUGUAAGAAGACAUUUAAGUUACAUUUGCUGAAGCCGGCUCCAUGCCAAUACUUCGUUAUCUGUCAAAGGAAUAUUUUCAGAGUAGGAUGAUUUAUUAAGUUAUAGUAAUUAUAAUUACAAAGCAACAUUCUUGUUACGUGAAAAGGAACCAUCUUUGUUGUGGAAACAAGAUUGUUUCAUGUCAGGCUCAAUCACACAAUCCUAAAAACUAGUUCCUCAAACACACCACCACCCUCAAGUGUUUUAUUCGUUUCUGACACACGAUCGGUCCGACCACAGAACCAUCAUUUCCCUAUAUCCACAACAUUCCUGCAUUUAAACAAACAUUUGGUUAUUGUUGUCAAAUUCAGAAAACACCACUAAGUUUUUUAAAACGAUUUAGCAAGCAGGAAAGGAAGCUACCAGUUAGGAGAUUUUAAAGGUAGUUCAUUUGUUGAUAUGGUUUAAAAAGGAUUCUGAUGAUUCAUCAUCAGAAAUGUGGUUUUGGUCAAGACUACUGCUGAGGAACAGGACAGAAAUAAUGUGUGGUUAAAUCCAACAGUGUUUAUUGCACAAAUGAAGAAAUUUGUUUGGUUUUAAUCAGCAGCAUUUUUACGACGACUCACUGUCUUAUUAACUAAGUUUGGAACUUUUAUACUUGAUAAAAUGAGGUGUGUGUGUGUGUGUGUGUGUGGGUGGGUGUGUAUUAGACUGCUUGUGAACUCUGAACUGCUGUUAAUUUAAUUUAAGAUGGUCAUACAUUAAUGAACUGCAAUUUACUCAAACUAUGGUCCUGUUUGUCCUGUUUGUGCAGGCCAAUAAAAGAAGCUUUGCAUGACA